AGCUUUACAUUGUGAGUAAAUAAAAAUUAUGAAAGCAAAAAAUUAUGGCGGUAUUUUAAGCUUUUCAGAGGAAUUUGCUCUUUAAUGGAUAAAACACCUAAAUCUUACUUAAAUUUGUUAUUUCAAUUUGUAUACCACUAUAAAAACAAUUCAUAACUCUAAUUGUUAAAAUUUACUAUAUUAAAAUAUAUUAAGUCAAGGUGCAGUAAAAAUUUAAGGAUGAAGUGAAUUACAUUACUUUUUAGGGAAAAAAAUUAAAAUAAUAUUUAGGAUUUGAAAGUAAAAUUAAAAUAAAAUGUUAAUUUGAAUUAAGCUCUAAAAUAUGUACAUAUCGCCCGUCACU
rnacentral:rRNA from 1 species